rnacentral:rRNA from 1 species
UACGUAGGGGCAAGCGUUGUCCGGAAUCAUUGGGCGUAAAGCGCGUGUAGGCGGUCCGGUAAGUCCGCUGUGAAAGUCGAGGGCUCAACCCUCGAAUGCCGGUGGAUACUGUCGGGCUUGAGUACGGGAGAGGCGAGUGGAAUUCCUGGUGUAGCGGUGAAAUGCGCAGAUAUCAGGAGGAACACCGAUUGCGAAGGCAGCUCGCUGGAACGUUACUGACGCUGAGACGCGAAAGCGUGGGAGCAAACAGG